rnacentral:rRNA from 1 species
UACGUAGGGUGCAAGCGUUGUCCGGAAUUAUUGGGCGUAAAGAGCUCGUAGGCGGUUUGUCGCGUCUGCUGUGAAAACUCGGGGCUUAACCCCGGGCCUGCAGUGGGUACGGGCAGACUAGAGUGCGGUAGGGGGAGACUGGAAUUCCUGGUGUAGCGGUGAAAUGCGCAGAUAUCAGGAGGAACACCGGUGGCGAAGGCGGGGUCUCUGGGGCCGUAACUGACGCUGAGGAGCGAAAAGCGUGGGGAGCGAACAGG